rnacentral:rRNA from 1 species
UACGUAGGGUGCGAGCGUUGUCCGGAAUUACUGGGCGUAAAGAGCUCGUAGGUGGUUUGUCGCGUUGUUCGUGAAAACUCACAGCUUAACUGUGGGCGUGCGGGCGAUACGGGCGGACUCGAGUUCGGCAGGGGAGACUGGAAUUCCUGGUGUAGCGGUGAAAUGCGCAGAUAUCAGGAGGAACACCGGUGGCGAAGGCGGGUCUCUGGGCCGAUACUGACGCUGAGGAGCGAAAGCGUGGGGAGCGAACAGG